rnacentral:rRNA from 1 species
AGUGAACGCUGGCGGUAGGCCUAACACAUGCGAGUCGAACGGCAGCACAGUAAGAGCUUGCUCUUACGGGUGGCGAGUGGCGGACGGGUGAGGAAUACAUCGGAAUCUACUUUUUCGUGGGGGAUAACGUAGGGAAACUUACGCUAAUACCGCAUACGACCUACGGGUGAAAGCAGGGGAUCUUCGGACCUUGCGCGAUUGAAUGAGCCGAUGUCGGAUUAGCUAGUUGGCGGGGUAAAGGCCCACCAAGGCGACGAUCCGUAGCUGGUCUGAGAGGAUGAUCAGCCACACUGGAACUGAGACACGGUCCAGACUCCUACGGGAGGCAGCAGUGGGGAAUAUUGGACAAUGGGCGCAAGCCUGAUCCAGCCAUACCGCGUGGGUGAAGAAGGCCUUCGGGUGGUAAAGCCCUUUUGUUGGGAAAGAAAAGCAGCAGGUUAAGACCCCGCUGUUCGGACGGUACCCAAAGAAUAAGCACCGGCUAACUUCGG